AGCAGCCGCGGUAAUUCCAGCUCCAAUAGCGUAUAUUAAAGUUGUUGCAGUUAAAAAGCUCGUAGUUGAAUUUCGGGGUCAGUAGGUCGGUCGUGCCACUGGUAUGAACUGGUUUUACUGAUUCCUCCCUCUUGAAGAACUGUAAUGCCAUUAAUUUGGUGUUGCAGGGAAUCAGGACUGUUACUUUGAAAAAAUUAGAGUGUUUAAAGCAGGCUUUAGCUUGAAUACAUUAGCAUGGAAUAAUGAAAUAGGACGUUUGAUCCUAUUUUGUUGGUCUCUAGGAUUGACGUAAUGAUUAAUAGGGAUAGUUGGGGGCAUUAGUAUUCAAUUGUCAGAGGUGAAAUUCUUGGAUUAUUGAAGACUAACUACUGCGAAAGCAUUUGCCAAGGAUGUUUUCAUUAAUCAAAGAACGAAAGUUAGGGGAUCGAAGACGAUCAGAUACCGUCGUAGUCUUAACCAUAAACUAUGCCGACUAGGGAUCGGAUGAUGUUAAUUUUUUAAUGACUCAUUCGGCGCCUUA
rnacentral:rRNA from 1 species